GCAUGGUAACGGCUGCUCCGUCUCUGUGGCCCUCCCCUAGUGUAACCAUGCCAGAGCAAACCGCAGUCUUGAACCACUGCCCGGCCUCCUCGCCUGUGGACUGUGAGCACUGAAGGGGACUGUACAGAU
ensembl:snoRNA